AGAUCUGCUCUAGCUAAAGCUGCUGAAAUUUCAGGAUUUACUUAUCCAUUGGACUCUGAGUUCUAGGGAAGACAAGGACAAGGUACAAAAAUGGAGAUCUGCUCUAGCUAAAGCUGCUGAAAUUUCAGGAUUUACUUAUCCAUUGGACUCUGAGUUGUGAGUUGUUGGAGUUCGUUAUUGACACUGUCCACACUUCACAGUGCAUAUGAAUUGGAUAAGUCUUAAUGGUUAUAAGUUAUGAUCCUUCCUUAUUUGUUCAAAGAGCCAGAAUAGUGAAUCUGCGACACUGUGUUUCAGCUUG